rnacentral:rRNA from 1 species
CCUCUUUUUUCAGGAAAGAAUAAAUGACGGUACCUGAAGAAUAAGCUCCGGCUAACCUCGUGCCAGCAGCCGCGGUAAUACGAGGGGAGCAAGCGUUAUCCGGAAUGAUUGGGCGUAAAGCGUCUGUAGGUGGUCUAGAAAGUCUACUGUCAAAUACCAAGGCUUAACCUUGGGCAGGCAGUAGAGUACCUUUAGACUUGAGUGCGGUAGAGGUAGAGGGAAUCCCUAGCGUAACAGUGAAAUGUGUAGAUUUUAGGGAGAACACCAGCGGCGAAGGCGCUCUACUGGGCCGAGACUGACACUGAGAGACGAAAGCUAAGGGAGAGAAUAGGAUUAGAUACCCUAGUAUUCUUAGCUGUAAACGAUGGAAACU